UCAACUAUCAAUUUAUACCUCUUAGAAGGUUGUCAACAGUUGGGAUUUUUCCAAGAGCUGUGUAGUCCACCCGAAGAACACCACCUUCCAUGGACCUUGUCCCUUCAGAUGCUCUUCCAAGGAAGGGUGCAAAUUCCUGUAUAAUUCCUAAGGGCAUCAUAGUGCAACCAAACCUUAAAUACUCCAUUUCUUUACUAGCAUCUACACUGCUCUAUCGGGACCAGAAAAGGGAGAAAUUAUUGGUUCCUCCGGGAGGACCACUGAUGUGGUCCUCCAUGCUCCUGCCAACAAAUAGGAAAGAAACACGUGUCCUUUUUGGGUGAUUCAGCUCCACAUCAGCUCCAAACCAAUGGCUUAAAUCUCAUCCAUUUAUUCAAUCCAAUGGCUCUUAAAUUUGACACAUCAUCAAAUUAUAAAAAGACAAUUUCACCCCCUAAAAUAUUUCAAACCCUGCGUCUGCUUUUAUCUCUUCCUCUGGAACAAAUAUCAAAAUUCUCUCUCUCUCGCUCUCACAGAUUGAAGCUUUCUCUCUUCACGGCACAGCCACUGGCCCGGAUCUCCGGUUACGACAAUGCUGGCCUUUUUCUCAUCGGAAAAUCCCUAAAAUCCCUGCUGGUACAGUCACCAAAUUUCAAAAUUUUUCUCUCUUCCACCAAACCUUGCUGUACGUGGGACAUCAGCGUCGAUUCUCCAUGACCAUGGCUACAACUGGAAGCCUCCAAGACUCACACGACCACCACCGGCGAUGCUUGCUGGCCUGACCUUCUCCUCUCUUUAGGUCUCUGUUUUUUCACUCUCUUAAGUCCAGCCGUGGCCAAGCUUCUGCUUGCACCGCGACACCACCAUUUCUGAUACCGUUCAUUGGAUCUCAUUCCAUACUUGUGAGGGCAGUUGUGGUGAAUGCUAAUCUGGAUGAUUUGGAAGCAUGAACAUCCAUUGGUUUAAAGCUACAUGUAUCUCUAUAGGAUCUAGCCGACAAUUGUUUUUUGCUUGGUGAGGUGUGCAUGCAAAAGAAGACUCCUCAAAACAAUUUGGAAACCAACUUGGACAUAUCAACUCUUGAAUAAGCGGAGUGUUAUGGCAAAUUUAAUUUGUAUAAGAGGCUUUCUCUCUUGGGGUUGCAGACUGCAGUUAAUAAAAUUAGAGAAGUGCUGUGGUUUGAUUCUUGUUAACAAGAAAAAAAUUUAGCCUUUGCUGGCCAUCUUGUAUUUAUCACCCAUAUACAGCUUUGUCAACAAUAAUGAGAACAUCUUGUAUUUAUCACCAUAUAUCUUGAGUAAAGGGGAAAAAAGAGAGUAUGAAUGGACUUGUUCUGGCCAGUUGGUGUUGUGUUUUUGCCUUCUAUUGUUGCUACGAAAUUGAAUAGCCGAGCAAUUUAUUGCAUCUUCAUGUUGUAGUUGAUUUUGUGCGGCUAAGCUGAUUUUGUGUUGACGAAUAUAUUUAAUGUAUACAAUUUUGUUUAUGUUAUAUGCUUUAUUUAAUUCA